CGUGGCCGCACGGAAUGGCACGGAAUGGUGAACGGAAUUAAAUACACAUAUUUAACCGAAAUAUGCACAAUAAAUUGAAUUAUUGUGCAGCGCCCAGAGCCUUUUAGCCAAUAUAUAAUAGAGUGCGCCACACACACAAAUUGCAUUGUGCGCGUGCCGCGUAUAGCAAGCAAAUGUAAAACAAAAUUUCGUGUGUAACAGCAAGAAAAAAAAAA
rnacentral:sRNA from 1 species